AUGAGUAUACAUUUCAGAUUUGAAAUGACAAGACUAAAAUGUGCAUUAAUGCUCAACUCAAUAGCUUAGGGAAGGAAGUCUACUUUUACACAACUUUUUAUUCUUUUGACAUUUUUUUUUACCAAAUACUAAUGUAGUUCAUUUCUUAAAAUGGGAUGGAACAGAGUCAUUGCAUAAUUUUUAAAAUGAUUUAGAAAUGUAGUCUUCCCAGAUCAAUAUCACAUAAUAUCAACUUCUCCCAUCUAAACUGGACAAAGGGUUUUAAAAUGGGAAGAAAAUGGUUUGAUUGUAAGUUGUUUGGAGGAGAUCUAUUUUUAUUUGAACAGCUGAAGCAUGAAUACAGUCUUCCAAUGUCCAAACCCUCCUCCUCCUCCUGAAGCUUGUGGAGCUCCUUCAUGUACUGCCGUCUUAUCUGCUGGCCAUCUUCUCUCACCAGAACUUCGACUGUUGAAAAGUCAUUCUGAAGAAGCUCGAGCAUGUGACAUGGAUCCAGGAGAACAUGGACUUUUAGUGCGGGGUCUUCAGGAUGGCAAAGAAAGAGAGAAAAUAUCAGUUAUUCAUUAAAUCAUUUUGUUUGUUCUCA